rnacentral:sRNA from 1 species
AAAUAAAAAAAUAAGAGCAAAAAAUAAUAUAGUAACAUUGUGUCAAAAAGUUAUUAUAACUUAAAAUUAAAGACUAUCAUACUACAUAUUUUCUGAAAUAAAGUAUGAUCAUAUACACAGCAGAUGCACCUAGCAAGGUAAAGAUCUUAUACUAAAAUACCUAUCGAUUAACCUGAAUUAGAAACUUUAGAAAUUAGAAUAAGAUGGACGUGGGUUCAAUUCCCACCA